rnacentral:rRNA from 1 species
GCAAACAGGAUUAGAUACCCUGGUAGUCCACGCCCUAAACGAUGAGAACUAGACGUUGAGAGAGAUAGCCUUUCAGUGUUGCAGCUAACGCGUUAAGUUCUCCGCCUGGGGAGUACGGCCGCAAGGAUGAAACUCAAAGGAAUUGACGGGGGCCCGCACAAGCGGUGGAGCAUGUGGUUUAAUUCGAUGAUACGCGAGGAACCUUACCAGGGCUUAAAUGUAGUAUGACAGGUUUAGAGAUAGACUUUCCUUCGGGCAUAUUGCAAGGUGCUGCAUGGUUGUCGUCAGCUCGUGCCGUGAGGUGUCAGGUUAAGUCCUAUAACGAGCGCAACCCCUGUUGUUAGUUACCAGCGAGUGAAGUCGGGGACUCUAGCAAGACUGCCGGUGCAAACCGCGAGGAAGGUGGGGACGACGUCAAAUCAUCACGGCCCUUACGCCCUGGGCCACACACGUGCUACAAUGGCCGGCACAGAGAGCAGCCAUGCCGCAAGGCAGAGCGAAUCUACAAAACCGGUCACAGUUCGGAUCGGGGUCUGCAACUCGACCCCGUGAAGCUGGAAUCGCUAGUAAUCGGAUAUCAGCCAUGAUCCGGUGAAUACGUUCCCGGGCCUUGUACACACCGCCCGUCAAGCCAUGGAAGCCGGGAGUGCCUGAAGUCCGUCACCGCAAGGAGCGGCCUAGGGCAAGAUCGGUAACUAGGGCUAAGUCGUAACAAGGUAGCCGUAAAGGGCGAAUU